GUAGGAUAGAGGCCUACCAUGGUUUCAACGGGUAACGGGGAAUAAGGGUUCGAUUCCGGAGAGAGGGCCUGAGAAACGGCCCUCAGGUCUAAGGACACGCAGCAGGCGCGCAAAUUAUCCCCUGGCAACACUUUGCCGAGAUAGUGACAAUAAAUAACAAUGCAGGGCUCUUACGGGUCUUGCAAUUGGAAUGAGUACAAUUUAAAUCCCUUAACGAGGAACAAUUGGAGGGCAAGUCUGGUGCC
rnacentral:rRNA from 1 species